AACCACCCUAUGGACUUGUGUGAGUGUCUGCCACUCAUCCACCAGUCAUGUUGCAUACCUGUGUGCCUGAAGGGCUGAAUUUCACCCAUGCCUGAGCCCAUGCUCAGAAGCUCACAGCCUGGGCAGCAAAGCAAUCUAGUUUUGAGGGCACAGGUGUAGGCAAAGGCUUGACUUAGAAGUCUGGACCAUUACCUCUGAUUUUUAUUUUUUUUGUUGGAAAACAUGGUUGCUGAGAGAUGACGCCUUCUUUCAAAGCUGAUUUAUUAAAAUUUGUGUUCACCUUCUGGAGGGUGGUUCAUUUAAAUGUUACCCCUCAAUAGCGCUUCAAAUUAAGCCCUGAAUGUGAAUGAAAAUAUCUUUAAUAUUAAAUUAGGCAUUCAUGGCCCUACUUAAACAUAGAAAUUGGACAUUAAAAUAAUAAUCAGUCAUCUAAUGCCAUCUCCCUGUGAAUGUGCAGUUGUUUUUAUAGUAUCUUGAGUCCUUUUGAGUAGUCUGUCUUUGUGCAUCUCAUGGAAAUUUCAGUUAUUUUAAUUAAAACAACACCUCCUAGGGCAUAAGACCUGCCAGUCAUCCUUUCAGCACCUUCAAAGUCCACAGCCAAACGAUACACACACACCACCUUUGUCCUUCAGCUGCCUAAUAUUUCAGUGAACUUGCAGCUCACAUGCAGGUGGUGAUAUCUCGGACAGCUGUACCUAGUGGUAUUCGUGACGCCCCAGGAAAACCCAGUGCUCCACCUAUUGCUGCAUUGCUUUCUGCUUCAGCCUGGCUCAGCACCGCUCGGUGUGAGCUCCAUCUGAGGAGCCAGGCUGUGCCCCCAGCGAUGGCAGGCAGCCCAGUUUGGAGCUGCUACUCAGCACUAGUGCCCGGCUCACUUUCCUGCUGGCUGCUGCAAGCUGAGAGCUAACCUGACCUGUGGCUGGGGAUCUGUAAGGAUACGGCUGAUCCAGGCUUUCAGCAGCCGUACAACGUCCUCCUUCCUUCCCAGCAGGAGCCGUCAGACACGCUGCCUCCUGCUACCCCCAUGGCUUCCCCACAAAUGAGACAGAAUCCAUCCCCAAACUGUCCUGAUCUUGUCCUGCACCCCUGACUUCAUCAGGCCCAAUCUUCAGAACCCGUGCUUGUUCUAGACCACUGGAUUAUUCAUUUUUCUGUUUUUUUCCCAAACUUGUAGCUAUACAACUAGAGAGACAGCCUUCUGAUAGCUCCCUCGGCCCUUUCUAUGGUGCUUGAGUUCAUAUCUAUCUUUACUAACAGUUACUGUGGUAAAAGAUUGUUUCUUUGCCCUUUUUUCUCCCCAUAUGACAGUGAUAUUUAAAGAUUUUUUGGUCACCAUGAAAGUGACGUAAUUUAGAGUGACAGGAUAUGGGAAGAAGUAUUAAAGUAUUUUAAGGGUUGGAAACAAUCUCUCUGCAAUUUAUUUGAUGUAAAAGAGCUUCUUAACUUUUCCUUUAAGUGCCUUGAGUCUUGCAAUCUUCUCCAUUCCAUUAUAUUCAAUUUAGACUUUUCUUUGUAAUAUUUCAUAUCUUUAAAAAAAUACGUGCUUUUAAGUACAAUUACAUUUCUGUAAUGGAGUAUUCCUAAACUUACUUGUGUCAGAGCAAUGAACACUAGAAAUUCAGAUUUGGUUAAAAAAUCAUCCUUGUUUUUGAAACAGGCUUUUCCAAAGUGAAGGCAGAUAUAAGGAUGUGCAUAAACUUGGGGGAGAGGGGAGAAGUCACUUAUUUAAAAUAGAGAUCUGAUUACUGAUCAAAUUAUCGCAGCUGUGAGAAAUACAAAAAGAAAUGUAACUCACAAAUGAAGAACAGGCGCUUUGAUUAGCAUUCUCUGGAUUUCUUAUUGCAAGUAACAGCAGAGGCAUUUAGGAAAGCCAUUUAGGACAGAGGUGAUAACGCAGACAUCCCUGCUGUAUCGCUGUCCAUAAGCUGUUCAAGUUCCUGAAAUGGUGACUGAUAUCAUUCUGUUUGAUUCUGAUGCUGAUUCUCCAGUUCUUUCACCUGAGCUUCAUCACGUUCCCUUUUUGCUGGCCAGGGUCAGCCCACAGCAGUGGUUAUUUCCAGGCCCCGUGUGCACCAGGGACAAAAAGGGCACAGAGGAGGAGCAGAGGUGGGAUGUGACGGUUGGCUGACAAGUCCAGGUCGUGCUGCCGUGACUCACCAACAAGAGAGGUCAGUCUGAUCUGGGAACGGGGAAUUCCCAAAGCCUGGUGGCUACUCUGAGUCACUUGCCUGAAGAAGCCUUGCUUCCUGUCAGUCUUUGUGCACCUGGACGUGAAGUUUAGCCCGCAGUAACUCUAAUACUAGAGAAUUACUGGAUCUGCUGUUGUUCCAAUGCAGCUCAUUGUACUAAUGAAACAACAUGGAUAAUUGUGCGACUGAUUACUGUUUGUUACUGUACUGUUAUUUAGAGAGAAACAACUUAUCCCUAAAGCUGUUGGCCCUGUGUCUGUUACCCAAACUGUAAUGCUGCUGGGCCAUCUAAAACCCUUACACUGGGACAGCCCCAUUCUCAUCCCCCACCCCAAACUGGGACAGGAGAGCAACUCCUCAAGAACUAGGACCUGCCCAGCUUUGGAAUUCAGACGAGACCUCAAGAUAUCUGCUGUAAUGUACAUUUCAAUAAUCUUCCAAGCAAUGGCACAUGCAUUUACCAGCCAUCCUAUCUCCUGAGUUAUUCAGAGAGGGAUGCACCGCUCACUUCUCAGUUUUUUCAGUGAGAGAUUUGUCUUUGUCACUGUGAUACUGAAGAGUUUCUAGACCUGUGGGACCUCAUCUCUGGUUCAAGGUUAUAGAUGCUAAUGCAACUUGAACAGAAGGCUUGCGUUGCUAGCAGUCUUUCAAGUACUGGGAUAUUUGCAGUUCAUGGUGUAGCUGCUUUGGUAGUUCGUAUGCUUCCCUCACCAUCUGUGUAUCGGUUUCCAGCAGCACACUUAAACAGUUGCUAUUGAAACAUGGUGUAAUUUGGCAAUGAUUUUAUUAAAGCUGUUUUGAAAUGUC